UUAUGUUCUAAUACAUAUCACUGGGGUAUGUUUUAUAUUUAUUGUAUAUUGUCUAUCUCCUCCCACUAGAACACAGCUCCACAAAGGGUGAAAUGUUUGCCUGUUUCUUGGUUGACUGCUGUUACCCCUGGGCCUGCAUCAGCACCUGGCGUAUAGUAGACUCUCAAGAACAGCUGUCGAUUAAAUGACUGAAUAUAGCACAUCUGGGAAAACAAAGGCUUGAUUUGGUCCCUGUUUUCAACACUAGCUCUCCCUCCCCCAGGACUGGUCCUCUCCUAGCACUGCCAGCCUCUGCCAGUCCUUAGUGGGACAUGACCUGCCCUUGCCCACACACCUACUCGAUCCUCACUCAGUAGUCAGCAUCCAUAUCCCACUGUGACUGACCCAGGCACACAGUGCCAGCAGCUCGUCCAAACUGGAAACUCUUCAAGUCUCAAAGUCUUUUAUCAGUCUAUUACUUGUCCCUGCAUUCUCUCUUCUGUCCCCCUCACUGUAGACCUUCAGACACUCACCAAUUUCCUGUUCCCUCUCUCAGUCCCUGGGAAGACCGGCAGUGGGGUAGGACGCCAAUCUCCCCAGCUGCUCUUCCAGGCUCCCCUGCCAGAGGAGGCCUUUGGUCUGUGAUUUUUCUGCCAAUUAUUAGAAAGAAAUAGGCCUGGGAUAAUAAAAACAACCAAGGAGGAAUUUAAAAGGUUAUGAAAUCUUUUAAAAUUCUGUUUUCUCAAUUGUAUUUUCUCAUUUGUACUUCUCGGCUCUUUUUUGAGACGUUUACAUAGAAUCAUCAUCUUUCCUUAUAUACUCCCUUUUGGAGGAAAAAGUACUUUCAGAGUUUCUCAAUUAUGUCAAAUAACAGAAAACAUUUAUUGAACAAUUACUAUGUGCUCAGCACCAUAAUGCAUUUCUAUGAAAAUGAGCUCAUUUAAUCCUCACAACCUCUCGGUGAAGUGGAUGCUGUCAAUCUUCCCAUUUCAUGGAGGAAAACUGAGGCCCAGAGAAGUUAUAUGACUCCCGAGUUUACACAGCUACCUAGUGGAGGACUCUAAGUUACAACUUAUCUAAUUUGAGAGUUCAAAUUUUCAACUGCUAUAAAAUAUCUCUGAUACAUGAGAGAAGCUGGAAAGUGAGAUCAUAACCACCAGAAAAAUACUACUUGUUAGUGCCUCAGAAGAACUACCACUGGUGUGAGUAGAAUUACAACACUGGCAACCCAAAAGAGAUACGCAUGUCAUGUUGUCUGAUUUUGGAGACAUUCUUAAUUUUCAGUGGCAGGUGCCAUACAUUUAUUCAUUGAGCAAAUGUUUUACUGAGUACCUUUAAUGUGACAAAAAGCCUGGCCACUGCAGAAACAGGUGAGCAAAAGCAAACACAGCCCUUGCAUUCAUACAACAUAUAUUUCUUCUUGAAAUCAAGUUCCUGGCACUAGGUAUCAAUAGACUUGAAAAUAUGCAUAACCAGCUAGGUGCAGUGGCUCACGCUUGUAAUCCCAGCACUUUGGGAGGCCAAGGCAGGCAGAUCUCUUGAGGUCAGGAGUUUGAGAGACCAGCCUGGCCAACAUGGUGAAACUGUGUCUCUACUAAAAGUACAAAAAUUAGCCAGGCGAGGUGGCGUGUGCGUGUAAUUCCAGUUACCUGGGAGGCUGAAACAUGAGAAUUGCUUGAACCAGAAAGGCAGAGGUUUCAGUGAACCAAGAUCAUGCCACUGCAUUCCAGUCUGGGUGACAGAGAGACUCCAUCUCAAACAAACAAAUGAACAAAAAAAAAAAAAACAAGAAAAUAUAUUUAGCCUAUAACCAAGAAUCUCAUUUCUAGAAAUAAAAAUAAUCUGAAACACAAAUUAAUUAUACAUAUUUAUCAGAGCAUUAUUUGUAAUAGCGACAAAUUAGAAACAACUCAUGUCCAACCAGUCCAACUCAAUGAUUACCAGUAGGUAAAUCAUUAGGUAAGUUGUGGUACAUCCACAUAUUGAAAUAGUCAUUCAUAAUAAUGUUUUCAAAAAGUUUUAAUAUUAUGAACAAAUGCUUAAAUUAUAAUGUUAAAAAUGAGAAAAGUAAGCUAUAAAACAAUCUGUUUAGUAUGCUUUUUGGUACAUAAAAUAAUAUAUAUGACAUUAUUUGGAUAUGUUCGAGUAAGCUAUAUGAUAUUAACAUUUUUAUAGGUCAAAAGGAUCAAAUAUCAACAAUUUCAUAAUGGAAAAAAUCUGAAAACAAAAAAGCCAAAAUAUUAAUGGUGAUGAUUUCUUGGUGGUGGUAUCAUCAGCAAUUUUCACUCUUUUCCUUCUAUUUUUGGCAUUUUCCAGUUUUCAACAAUGUACAUAUAUUUCUAAUAAAAACAUUAUUGGAAAACAAAAAGAGAACAAAUGUUCCUCUUUCAGCUACUUUACUAAAUCAUAAUGCUAAAUGCAGUCUGACUGAGUACCUAUAAUCCAUCAUGCCAGUAACUGCAGCAAAUGUAGCAAUGGCCUGUAAUUCCAUUUUAUACAUACUGCAAUAGAUAUUCAGCCCAGAACGAUAUUUCAAGACAGCAGUUUCUGAAGCAGGGAGUUGGUUCAGAUAAAAUAGAUGCCAGACUAUCAGUGCUUCAUAGCCUUAGAGAUAGGUUGCUAGGACCUAACUCAUAACAUUUCCAAGAAAGCUGCAUAAACUUCUUAUUGAUGAUCUCAAUUACUUCUAAAGCAUUUUUGAGAAAAAAUAUUUUUAGGACCAAAAUAAAAGUAGGUUAUAAAGUCCUAGCUCUUGAGGACAAUGGGGAGAGAAAGAUUUUAUAUGCUGGAAAGAGGGGUUUUUUUUGAUAGAUUAUCUGAAAUAACAUAUCCUUCAUUAGUCAGUGCUAAUGAAUAGUCACAUCUGUUUUCAUGGAACAAUGGAGAAUUACAUAAUUAAUAGUUUAUUCUUUUCAAAAUUUAAUAUAACUGCUCCUUUUACACUUACUUUUAACUCUGUAAGUUAUUCUCUUACUGUCUUUAUAUGUAAUAUAGGAUACACUUGCCCAAAAUCUUGUAGAAUACAUGAGAAUAUACAUACACUAAAAUGUGUAUGUACACAUAUAUAUGUAUACAUACACACACACACACACACACACACACACACACACACACACACACUUCACAGUUUAAUGAGUGCUUACUAUAUGCCAAGUACUAUGUUGAGACUAGGUAUAGACCAGUGAGCAAAACUGACAUGUCUCUUACAGCCCAGUAGCAGAGACAGACAAACAUGCAAAUAUAUGCAAAAUUAUUAAUUGUGAGAAAUCAAAUGAAAGCCAAGAAUAGGACACUGUAAGAAAGAAUUCGGCUGAAGGAGAAUUAGACUGGAGAGAACUUGGAAUCUGAAUCAACAUAGGAUGAUGUCUCUAAGGAGAGGACAUUUACACAGGAGAAUGAGUGGAAGAAAAAGUCUCCUGGGCUUAAGAAAAGAAGGUCCUGACUCAGUGAUAAGGAGUUACCAGUAUUAAGAGAAGGUCAGUAGGCCCAGUGUUUUCUUGAGCAAGGUAGAGGGUCAUCAAAUGGUGUUUGGAAGGGAGGCCUGGGCCAUGUGACUCAGAAGUCUACAGGUCCUGUGGAGGAUUUAUCCUAAGUAGAAUAGGAAUGUGCUAAAGUAUUUGAAACAGGGAAUGGCAUGACUAGAGAAACAUUUUUAAAGCAUUAUUCUACUGAAGUAUUCUACUGGGCUCUAAUGGUUCUACUAUUGUAUUGGGUGAAAUUCUGUGAUGUCUGGUGUUUGCUUUAAUAAAUAUUCCAGAUAUAAAGAAAGAAAAUGUGGGAGUGCCAAGGGAAAUGAUAACAGAUAAAAUAAAACUGUCAAAAUAUUGAAAGUUGCUAAGACUGGGUGAUAAGUACAUGGGAAUUUGUUAUACAUCUCCUUGUGUUUUGGGGUAUGUUUGAAAUUUUUUAAAAUAAAAAGCUUUUUUUCAAAAAGAUAAAGAGUGAGCUUUGGCUCUGAGAUUACCAGUUCAAUUCUGCCACUUACUAUUAGGUAUGUGAUUUUAGAAAAGUGAUUUUUCUUCUAUAAUCUUUAGUUUUCACAUGUAUGGAAUAGUGAUAAUGACAGUACAUACCUCAUAGGCCUGUUAAAUAUAUUAAUGCAAUAAUAGCAGAGAGUUUGGCUCAUAGUAAAAAUCUGGGGAAUGUUAACUAUUAUUUUAGAAUUAACUCCAGGCAUAUUUAUUGUGUGUAUAUAUAUAUAUAUAUAUACACACACACACAUAUAUAUUUGUUUUGUUCUGUUUUGAGACAGAGUCUCACUCCAUCACCCAGGCUGGAGUGCACUGGUGUGAUCUCAGCUCACUGCAGCCUCUGCCUCCUGGGUUCAAGCAAUUCUCACGCCUCAGCCUCCCAAGUAGCUGGAAUUACAGGUGCAUGCCACCAUGCCUGGUUAAUUUUUGUAUUUUUAGUAGAGAUGGGGGUUUCACCAGGCUGGCCUCGAACUCCUGACCCCAAGUGAUUCUCCCUCCUUGGCCUCCCAAAGUGCUGGGGUUACAGGCAUGAGCUAUCAUGCUCUGCAUAUAUAUAUGUAUAUGUAUUUAAACCAUUCUGGUGUCUGUAUGGAAAAUGGAUGGGAGCAAUGAAUGGUGACGUAAAAGAUCAGUUAAGAGCAAUUGGUGAGUUCAGCUGAGUAGCACUGGAGCAAUGGGGAAGGAGUGACAUCGAUUAAGGAGCCGCUGGAAAAUGGAUGGUGCUGAAAGCCCUGCAAAAAACCAAGAUCUCCUGAGAUAGUUCCCAGGGGUUCUUGACUCCUCCAACUUUUUUUUUUUUUUUUUUUUUUUUUUGCCAUGGACUCCUUUGGCAGUGAUAAAGCCUAUAGGCUCCUUCUCAGAAUGAUGUUUUAAGAUGCAUAAAAUAAAAGGCAUAGGAUAACACAGAAAAUUAUCUUGAAAUACAGUUACUAAAAUGUUUAAAAAGUAAUUUUCGAUAUAGUAAAAAGUUUUUUAAUAAUGUAUUAAGUAACUAGAUGCAUAUAUAUUUCAAGCUAUCUAAGUAUAAUGUGACAUAAAAAUAUUGAUUCUUUGUAUUAGUAACUGUCACAGUUCAGUUUCCCCAGAAAGCAGAAUCUAAGCUGGAGAUUGGCAUUUGGGGAGUUUGCUAGGGAACGCUCUUGACAUCAACAUGAGGGAAGGCAAGGUGGAACUGGUCAGAGAAGGAUGACAUUGAGCUGUGAUGAAGUCUGAGAGGAAGCUUCAGCCAACCUUACAGAAGGUCUGAAGAUUAUAUGACCCUUCAGAAGUGCCCUGAAUCAAAGAGGGCCAGGUGUUUAUUACCCAGCUGAGGUGGCUCUCUGCAACUGAGGCCAUUUCCCUGGGGCUGCCAGCUGAGGGCACUCUGCCAACAGCUUUCAUAGUAGCUGGGGUAAGUCCUCAUUUCUGAAAGAAGAUCUAGGUGUAACAUUAUAACAUCAAUCACAGUGACAAAUUUAUAGGUUCUGCAAGUUCCACUGUGGCUUGCUGCCUACAUUCACAGUUGAAGAAAAGACUGAAUUUCGGUUAGAGAUUAGUGGAAAUGAAAAUGUAAUUUUAAAAUCCUAUCCAAAUUCACAAACCCCACAUGGACCCCAGGUUAAGAAUACUUGUGAGUGAGAAUGGGGCCCCAUAUUCAGAGAGGCUGGUCAGGCUCUGUUGUUUGCUGGAACACAGUAAGCUGUCUUCUGCUGUAGGGAAAAAUGAGCAGAUUGAACCUAAGCAUUAAAAUAAAAAAAUGAGCAGGGAAAGUGUGUUUUCCAGAGCAAGAAUGAUGCCCAGGAACAAAGCAAGUCAGACAGGAUAGAGUCCACAGUACCAGAGAAAAGACACAGAUUGAUGUGCAGCUGCCUGAGUCUACUUUUGAAUUACAGAUUUUAAUCCUUCAUGAAACCAAACAAUACCUCCAGUUCUUGGUGUAGAAACACUCCUAUGUCUUUAUAAUGUUAUUUUCUCAUGUAAGCUAGUUUAAGUAGGUUUCUGCUGCUUACAAGCUGACGUAUCUUGUUGAAUACAGAGAUACUUUAAAACUCCUCCCUUAACACACACAUACACAGAAAUUCUUGAAAUUUGCAGGAGUUUGGGGUGAGGAGCAUCUAGCAAGGAACAUGGAGUUGGGAAUGGUUGAAGCAUUGCUGCUGGGAUCUAUUAAGGCUCUGAGCUCUCCAUGAAAGUAUUGGCUUUCUCUUUGAUGGCCUUUGCUGUAUUGGAUAACUCACCUACAAAAAUGACUUAUUUUUAAUGUAGAACUGUGAUAAACUUCAACAUUUUGAUGAUUAUCAUGCUUUAAAAUGAGAAUAAAGAUAGCUAUUAUAUUUUUUAAUUUGACAGAGUAGUGCAGGCAAUAAUGAAAUGGUAUUCAUCUGAAUAGCAAUCUUUAUUUUUAAAAUCCAAAGGCACUCAAUAAUGUGAUCUGUGCACUUUGCUAUUAUGAUAUAUAGCAUAUAAAAUGUUAAGCACGUCUAACAUUUAAUUCAUUUCAAUCAUACCAGUCUGUCAAGAUAUAAUAAAUCAACAAAACCAACAACUCCCUCCCAAACAUUAAUUACCUAGUGAACUACUCUUAGCUUUUUUAUUUAGUCAUGAAAUUUGAAAAUUACCUCUGAAUUAGCAUAGCUAUUCACACAUUAUUUUCCCCAACAACAAAAGAAAUGCCACUGUAACAGCUGCUUCGUACUUUUUAACAUGAAAUUGAUGUUAGUGACAGAUUUUCAAGCAUGUAAUUUGUCUCAACAUGUGUGUCCUUUUAUUUGUAAAAACUCCCAGGACUGAAGAAUGAAGUUUCAAAAAGUUAUUUAUUGUGUCUCCUGGCAGGGUAGAAUCCAUGGAAAACAAUCAACUAACAGAACUGUGUGAUGGUCUAUAAGAUUUGGAAUUAUACCAUUGUUAUAGAGGGGAAAUAAAAGACAUUUCUCCUGUACCAGCUUCUCCUCCCCCACCACCCCUAGUAAGAAGUGGAAAAUGAAUAUACCAAAUGAACAUACUUGGAUUUGAUUUUAUGAUUUGAUUUUUAUGAUGGAACGUCUUGUAAAUGGGAGCAGAUUCCUAAAAAAAUUACAGUGCCAGCCCAGUUCUAAGCACUGCAUCCCCAAUUACUUUGAAAAGAGGCUCUUGUAAGCCAACUGUGCAGUCACCUCUGAUUAUAAGGUUUGGAAGGAGUAUCUUCCAGGACCUACCCUUAGCCUGAUUCAGCAGAUGACAAUCCAUUUCCUUUUAAACUUUUUUUUUGCAUCAGAAGAUGCAGUAAGUUGUAAGUAUUACACAGAAUACUUAGGCACAGAAAACACAAUAAGUAGUAAGAUGUGUCUCUUAAGGGGCUCACAAUUAAGUAUGAAAAGAGAUUAUUAGAGAAACAAAGAGUUAAAUCUUCUAAUAGAGGUGGUGGUAGAAAGGUGUGUUGUAACCAGUCUCUGGUCAAAAUGAAACCAAUUUCGGCUAGAGGAAGCAGGGAUCUGGUUAUACAGAACCCAAAGGACUUAAAGUUGGUGAAAAAAGGAAGCAGCAAGUAGAGCAAAGAUGGGUUGUCCAACUCCCCUUGAUUGCACUCUCUCCAGGGGAGGGAACAAUAACCCCUUACUCCUUGAGACCAGUCAACAUGUGUUUGCCCUUGAGAUAGCUUUCCCUAGUGUCUCUGGGGAGCUAGGAAACAACAGGUUAGGGUCUUUGUAAUUCUUGCCUCUGCCAGGGCCUUGGCCAGAGAUCUGGGAGGACAACAGACUCUUCCCCUAUGUGCUGCUAGAAAACUGGUUGUAAUACUGUUUUCUUUUCUUUCUUUCUUAAUUUUUUUAAGAGACAGGAUCUCACUUUGUUGUUCAGGCUGUAGUGCAGUGGGGCAGUUGUGGCCCACUGCAGCCUCGACCCCCUGGGCUCAAGUAAUCUUCCCGCCUCAGGCUCCUGAGAACCUAGGACAACAGGUGCUCACUGCCAUGCCUGGCUUUUUUUUUUUUUUUUUUUUUUUUUUUUUUAAUUUUUGGUAGAGACAGGGUCUCUUUAUGUUGCCCAGGCUGGUCUUGAAUUCCUGGCCUCAAGUGAUCCUUCUACUUCAGCCUUUUAAAGUGCUGGGAUUAUAGGCAUGAGCCACCAAGCCCAGCUGCUUGUAACAUUCUUGAAAUGUUGACCCCACUGGAGUGACCAGCAGAGCUUGCCAUGCCUCCCGAUCUGUACUCUUUGCUGUAGUUUAGAUAUUUGUCCGCUUCAAAUCUCAUGUUGAAAUCUGAUCCCCAGUGUUGGAAGUCGGGUUUAGUGGGAGGUGUUUGGAUCAUAAGGAUGGAUCCCUCAUAAAUAGAUUAAUGCCCUGCCAUGGUGAGAGUAGUGAGUGAGUUCUCUAUUAGUUUUCCCAAGAGCUGGUUUUUUAAAAGAGCCCGGUGCUUCCCUCUCUCUCUUGCUUCCUCUCUCACCCUGUGAUUUCUGCACACACUGGCUCCUCUUCCCCUUUUGCCAUGAGUGGAAGCAACCUCCAGCCUUUACCUGAUGUAGAUACUGGUGCUGAUUUUUGUACAGCCUAUAGAAUUGUGACCUAAACAAACCUCCUUUUCUUUAUAAAUCACCCAGACUCAGAUAUUCCUUUAUAGUAACACAAACAGAUUAAGACACUUCCCACCCAGUUGUCUCUCAGACCUCAUUACGGUUAUUCUUCUUACAUGUGUUCCACUUUAGCUGCUUGGGUCCCCAUGCUUUUCUCAACACACAGGCUGGUGCUCCUUCUUGCCUUUGCAUUGUCGUCCCCUCUCCUGGGAACAUGCCUCCUUUAGUGACCUGAAUGGCUCACCACUUCACCUCCUGUAGGUCUUUGCUUUGGUGUCACCUUCUCAGUGUGGCAUUCCCUGGCCAUCCUAUUUGACACUGGCCCUACUUCUUUCCAGAGUUCUAUCUUUCCUGCUUGAUUUUCCUCUGUUGUACUCAUCCCUACCCACAUACUUUGUAUUCCUCUUUUUUAAUUUGUUUAUUGCCUUUUUUCCUCCUUUAGACCACAAGCUCCAUGAGGACAGAAAUUUUGCUCUGCUUUAUCCCCUGAUCUCUCCCCAGCACCUAGCACAUUGUACCUGGUGUAUAAUACAUUUUUUUAAGAUCUCUCCCCAGUACCUAGCACAUUGUACCUGGUGCAUAAUACAUUUUUUUUUUUUAAGAGACAGGGUCUUGUUCUAUCACCCAGGCUAGAGUGCAGUGGCAUGAUCAUAGCUCACUGCAGCCUCAAACUCCUGGGCUCAAGCAAUUCUCCUGCCCCAACCUCCUAAGUAGACGGGACCACAAGUGUGUGCCACCAUACCUGGCUAAUUUUUUUUUUUUUUUUUUUUGAGAUGGAGUCUCCGCUCUGUUGCCCAGGCUGGAGUGCAGUGGCAUGAUCUUGGCUCACUGCAAGCUCCGCCUCCCGGGUUCAUGCCAUUCUCCUGCCUCAGCCUCCCGAGUAGCUGGGACUACAAGCGCCCACCACCAUGCCCGGCUAAUUUUUAUAUUUUUAGUAGAGACGGGGUUUCAUCGUGUUAUACCUGGCUAAUUUUUUAAAACCAUCUGUAGAUAUGGGGUCUUGCCAUGUUGCCCAGGCUGGUCUCCUGGCCUCAAGCAAUCCUCCUGCCCUGGCCUCCCAAAGUUCUGAAAUUAUAGGUGUGAGCCACUGGGCUUGCCUACAAAUAUUUUAAAGAGUUAAAUUAAAUAUAUAUACAUUUCAAAACUUUUCCUUUUUGUAGAAUAUGUGCCCCAAACGGCCAAUAUUCGAACUGUUUUCUCACUAUUUUUUUGUAGGGUGAGCUUGCUGAUAGCCAUAUGUGCUAGCCAAUACUGGAUUUUCUGAUGUCUUUAUUCAUUUAAAAAUUAUCCUUUAUGGUGACUUUAUUACUGAGCUCUCCUCUUCUGCUUGUGUACUGUGCAGUCUACUAUGGGAGGAGUGAGUCCAGUUAAGGUGCCCUUCUUUAAGGGGAGGCCUGCUAAGUGGAUCUUCUCUAGAUAGUGAGGAGAACCGGUGAGUGAGCAAUCUAGACCAGAACACGUAUAAUACUGGAGGGGUCUUUAGCCCAGAGAUUUACAAAGAAGACCAAAGGAUUUAUCAGUAAUUACCCUAUCUAUGUAAUACAUGUAGAUAAAGAUAGAUAGGCAUGUAUAUGCAUAUAUACAGAUACCUAUGUAUAUAUCUAUCUAUAUACAUAUAUACAUGUAGAUAUAUACAUACCUAUAUACAUGUAGAAAUACAGAUGUAGAUAUAAAUAUAUAUAUGUGUAUAGAGAUAUGUGUAGACAUAUAUAGAUGUAUACAUAUAUAGAUAGAUAGGUCUAUAUAGAAAACCAUCUAUCUAUAUCUAGAUAGAGAUAUGUAUUGAUAGAUAUCUCUCCCUAUCUAUCUCUAGAUAGAUUAUCUAAUCUAUCUGUAAAACUAUCUUAAAACCAUACUAAUUUAAAAAUCAAGAUUCAUCUUAAUUUAAAAAUCUUAAUUUAAAAGUUAAGAACCAUCUUUAUUUUGUGGUUCAUAUACACCAUGGAAUGUUAGGCAGCCAUAAAAGAGAGUGAGAUCAAGUCCUUUGCAGGAACAUGGAUGGAGCUGGAUGGAGGUCUUUAUCCUUAACAAACUAAGGCAGGAACAGAAAACCAAAUACUGCAUGUUCUCAUUUACAAAUGGGAGCUAAAUUAUGAGAACACAUGAACACAUAGAGGGAAACAACAGACACUGGGGCCUCUGGGAGGGUGGAUGGUGGGAGGAAGCAGAAGAUCAGGAAAAACAAUUAAUGGGUACUAGGCUUAAUAGCUGGGUGGUGAAAUAAUCUGCACAACAAAUCCCUGUGACACUAGUUUACCUACAUAACAAACCUACGCAUGUGCCAUUGACCUGAAAAUAAAAGUUAAAAAAAUUAUUAAAAAUAUGUCAGUAAAAGUCUUUAACCAACACCAAAUGGUUCAUCCCAAGAGUCAUCUUAAUUUAAAAAUCUUCACAUCUUAAGAAGCUACAUGGGAGGCUGCGGCAGGAGAAUGGCUUGAACCCAGCAGGCAGGGGUUGCAGUGAAGCGAGAUGAUAACAUUGUACUCCAGCCCAGGUGACAGUGUGAGAC
rnacentral:lncRNA from 1 species